GACGAACGCUGGCGGCGUGCUUAACACAUGCAAGUCGAACGGAAAGGCCCUGCUUUUGUGGGGUGCUCGAGUGGCGAACGGGUGAGUAACACGUGAGUAACCUGCCCUUGACUUUGGGAUAACUUCAGGAAACUGGGGCUAAUACCGGAUAGGAGCUCCUGCUGCAUGGUGGGGGUUGGAAAGUUUCGGCGGUUGGGGAUGGACUCGCGGCUUAUCAGCUUGUUGGUGGGGUAGUGGCUUACCAAGGCUUUGACGGGUAGCCGGCCUGAGAGGGUGACCGGCCACAUUGGGACUAAGAUACGGAGCAGACUCCUACGGGAGGCAGCAGUGGGGAAUAUUGCGCAGUGGGCGGAAGCCUGAUGCAGCAACGCCGCGUGCGGGAUGACGGCCUUCUGGUUGUAAACCGCUUUCGCCGGUGACGAAGCGGGAGUGACGGUAAUGGGUAAGGAAGCACCGGCUAACUACGUG
rnacentral:rRNA from 1 species